rnacentral:lncRNA from 1 species
GUGAUAGCGUCUACCCUAGGACCUCCCACUACUCUCACCACACGCGUCAAUCCUCUCUAAGUGAGAAUGAAAGACCGUUGGAGUGUUAGGGAUAACCCCCCAUAUGGAAGCCUCUCACCAUUCAUUCAAUACACUAACUGAUCUCACCGAGAGACCGUAAUUCCAUAACCAAAUCCAACCACUUUAAUCAAAUGAUAUACCUCUUGAAUCAAUAAUGUACUAUACAUUAACUCAUCAAACGCAAGGUUUUUC